rnacentral:rRNA from 1 species
GACGAACGCUGGCGGCGUGCUUAACACAUGCAAGUCGAACGGAAAGGCCCUGCUUUUGUGGGGUGCUCGAGUGGCGAACGGGUGAGUAACACGUGAGUAACCUGCCCUUGACUUUGGGAUAACUUCAGGAAACUGGGGCUAAUACCGGAUAGGAGCUCCUGCUGCAUGGUGGGGGUUGGAAAGUUUCGGCGGUUGGGGAUGGACUCGCGGCUUAUCAGCUUGUUGGUGGGGUAGUGGCUUACCAAGGCUUUGACGGGUAGCCGGCCUGAGAGGGUGACCGGCGACAUUGGUACUGAGAGACGGCGCAGACUCCUACGGGAGGCAGCAGUGGGGAAUAUUGCACAAUGGGCGGAAGCCUGAUGCAGCAACGCCGCGUGCGGGAUGACGGCCUUCGGGUUGUAAACCGCUUUCGCCUGUGACGAAGCGUGAGUGACGGUAAUGGGUAAAGAAGCACCGGCUAACUACGUG